CACUGGCACUGGAACACGGGCCAGACUCCUACGGGAGGCAGCAGUGAGGAAUAUUGCGUAAUGGGGGAAACCCUGACGCAGCGACGCCGCGUGAGUGAGGAAGGCCUUCGGGUCGUAAAGCUCUGUCAAGAGGAAAGAAGUGUACAAUGGCUAAUACCUGUUGUAUUUGACCGUACCUCUAAAGGAAGCACCGGCUAACUCCGUGCC
rnacentral:rRNA from 1 species